UACAGAGGUCCCAAGCGUUGUUCGGAUUCAUUGGGCGUAAAGGGUGUGUAGGUGGCGCCGUAAGUCGGGUGUGAAAUUUCGGAGCUUAACUCCGAAACUGCAUUCGAUACUGCGGUGCUCGAGGACUGGAGAGGAGACUGGAAUUUACGGUGUAGCAGUGAAAUGCGUAGAGAUCGUAAGGAAGACCAGUGGCGAAGGCGGGUCUCUGGACAGUUCCUGACACUGAGACACGAAGGCCAGGGGAGCAAACGGG
rnacentral:rRNA from 1 species